rnacentral:lncRNA from 10 species
GCUGAUGGUGGAAGGAGAAUGAGUCUCUGAUGACUUUGGACUUGAUGCUGGAAAGACUUAAGACUUUGGGGGACUACUGGAAAGCUUAUGUGAGAAGAAACGCAGGGAGACAGUUCAGUCACUGCAAUCUUCAUGCCCAUCAGUUUCUUGUGAGAAGAAAACAAGACUGGCAACGCCUGCUUCCUCCUCUGAGCUGUCAAGUAGGAAGUCCGGGCUGCUCUGCUAGAAAGAGAAGUCAUGUGCAGGAGCACUGAGGCAUCCCAGGUGUGACACUCUUCCACCUAGAGCAUUCCGUCUCUCAUCCUCUGCCAUGUAGCAAACUGCUAUGCAUCCUUCAGCUGCAAGGGAUUGAAUGCUAUCAACAACCAUACAAGUGGAGAAGCAGAUGCUUCCCUAGCUGAGCCUCAGGCUUUUUGAUGGAAUUGCUACAACUUGGUGCAUGCCUGCUCCUAAAAGAAAUACUCAGGAAUUGUCUCAUAAAGUCCUCACCUACUGGCAAAAACAAGAUGUUCUACUCCCAGGUUGACUUUUUCAAGCCCCAAGAUGUUGAGUCAGCCAUUCUCCAAGGAUCUCGAUUUCCUUUUAAUGGAAAAUAACAUUAAACACCAAAUAUAAGCCUCGCUGUCCCACAUGCGUAUUGGGGACAAGAUGAAACCUGCUUCCAGGCUACUUUGGCAGCAGAACUGAAAAAGGCUUUUUUUCCAGAUAUAUGAUUUCUCAUCGACAGGGUUGCACAGCCCUCUUUAUUGUUCGUGUAAAUGACACCCUUGGAUCUGAACAAUACACACCAGGACAAUUGUGUGCAACAGUUCUACAAACUGAUAUUUCUAAUUA